UCCAGCCCCAACCCACCAUCACCAGCUCCACUCCCCUCUAGUUUCCCGCCGCCCGCCAAAGCCGCCUCCGGCAAGGACCCGGCCGGCGCCACCGCCUCUUCCCCAGCGGCCCGCCCACGGCCAGGCGCGCCCUGUCCUCCCUCCCCGCGCUCUGGCCGUGGCCCGCCGGUGCGCUCCUCCUCCCUUCAUCCGGGGCCCCGGGUCGUGCCUCCCGCCUCGCCUCGCCUCCUCACGCCUGAUUUGGAUUCACCCGUCCUCGAUUCGCCGCCCGUUUAGGUCUAGAACCGCGCCCGAUUUGGUUUCUGCUCGUGCUCGAUUCGUCAGUUUGGAGUCGCGCCUGCUUUGAUUUUGCUCGGCCUCGCUGUCGCGCGUUUGGGGUCGCCGUCCGUUUUGAUUUUGCUCGCCGCCUUCGUCCGUUUGGAGUCGCCGUCCGGUUCGAUUUUGCUCGUCGUCGCCGUCCGUGUGGAAUCGCGUCCGGUUCAAUUUUGCUCGCCCUCGCCGUCGUCCGUGUGGAGUCGCGUCCGAUUCGAUUUUUCUCGUCUCCGCCGUCGUCCGUGUAGAGUCGCGUCCGGUUCGAUUUCGCUCGUCCUCGCCGUUGUCCCGAUGCGCUCGCGUGUUCUUGGCCCGUCUCGCCUCGUCGGAGGUCUCCGUCUCGUUUGCGAACUAGCAAUUCUUCCUUUCUGCGUGCGAUUCUGUUAUCCGAGAGGCACUCCGGGUCCUGGGUUCCGUGUUCGCGUCGGUUGCAGGAACGAACGAGGUCUGCUUUCGAAAUUGGAUUACGGCCGGAGACGGGGAGCGAUGUUUGUUUAUCGUGCUAGUUCAGACCGGUUCCUAGGUUACGUCACCUACGUUGCUCUCUUGUGAUACUCUGUCAAUUCUUGGCCCUCUGUCAGUUCUUGUUGGCCCUCUGUCAAUUCUUGAGUUCCAGGGUCCGCUAAUUCUUGAGUUCUUGUUGUACCGGUUAGGCCUUAGGCGUGUGUACUCUCAUCUUAGAUGGGGUGGUUCCUUAGUUCUGAUGGUGUAUACUAUUUAUGUUCUUUCCAAUUUGUUUCUUUUUUUAUCAUGCUUUGCUUUGUUUUGCCUGUUGCUUGACUAAUUGAACACCUGCUGCUUGACUAAUUGAACACCUGCUGCUGCUACUGUUGGACAAAGGUUCCUUCUUUUCUUCCUGAUGUUGCUCUUUCCAUCGAAGUACUCAUAGGAGUUCUAGAUGAGCUGCUGCUAGUUAGUUCCCCUUAGACUACAUUCUAGAUUGCAUAGCAUAACUCAAGAAUUUUGUCAUUGCACACAUGUGCACAUAUAUAUCUGUUGUGUUCAUGACUCCAGAAUUUAUUUAUCCAUGAGAGCACGUUCAUCACAUGUUUAUGCGCAUGUUUAUUUAUCCAUGAAUUCUGUCGUGUCCCUUUCCUUUGGACAAAAAUUUCAACAAACCUAUAACGUGGACAUGUGCUGCUUGUUUUCUUGUGAUGAUGGUGAUCUAGUUGACUAGCCCAACUCUUAUGCUCUGGCAUUUGUUAAUCCUCAGUUACCGUGCUUGAAAACUUAUUGCUUGUCAUGUUAAAUUUUAUGGCAUCAACUCGGUAUUGUGAUAAGUGACCUAGUACUCCGUAUUUGUUUAGUGUAGACAGCUAACUUCUUUUUUCUUAUUUUUUUAGUGAUAUGCGUGUUCUGCUAUGUCUUAUGUUGAUAGUAUAUUCUUUUUUUUGUAUUACUCAUGUUCAGUCACUGGAAUAAUGCUUUUCUUGAUUUGCCUAGACUUUGUGACAAUUAAUUUAUAGUGCGAUCAUUGAGUUUCUGACAUCCUAUUGCAUAAAAUUCUGUUGUAAUGUUUGUUGGAUCAUUGAGUAGUUAAUAUUGAUUCUGAGUUUGUUGGAUCAUUGAAAUUCUACGUGCGCUUUUGUUAUCUGAGAGACACUCACGAUCCCGCAUUUCGUGUUUGCGGCAGAGCGAUGAACGAUUACGUUUUGCGUUCCUGCAUUUUGUGUCUGCCGUCUGGUUUUGAAUUUGGAUUAUGGAGACGGGGAGAGGCCAGAGUAAGGUCAGUUUCAGAUCGGUUCCGUCGCUGCGUUGUUCGUCGGUGAUUUCCAGACCUCAAACGCAUGCGUCCUUGUGAUACUCUAGUUUGGCUCGUGGGUCGUUACAGUUGUUCUUACGUUCCCAAUGUCUGUCUUCCCAUAUAUGGGGAUGCGUUCAGAGGUGCAAACCAUGUAGGCCGUGGUGUGUUUAUACUAUCUAUGGUGUGUUCUACACUAUCUGAUGUGGAACGUAGAAAUAUUGAUAUCACUUCUGUGCUAGUAUACUAGAUAUGGUGUGUUUUAUCCAAAUUAUUAACCACAUCUCUUAAAAUUUUCCUUGAGUUGGUACAUGUUUAUAUGCCAAGAGUGAUUGAUGUCUUGACGAAUAUAAUCAUUUAUGCUAACUUGGUAUUGGUAGUUCCUGAGGUAACACACCAGUACUUGUUUACUGCAGACAAUUGACUAUUCUUUUUUCUGAACUUUUUUGUGAUAUGUGUGUUAUGUGGAUAUCAUAUUCUAAUGCUUUUCGAAGUAUUUAAGGUACAGACUUGUGGAUCUGGACAUGUCACAUUUGCUCUUUAUUGGGUUGCUAAGGACACUGAACAGUUUGGCUGGGCCACUGCACGGCCUGGCUAAUCAGGAAGUGUUGCUAUGGAUCAAAUCUGUAAUGGAAUAGACUGGGAGUAACAUUACAACCGACCAAGUAAAGAAUAUGUAUGGAAGACACUGAAGAGUGGAAAGGUUGUAGUGAUUAGAGAGAAGCUUGCAGAACUGUAUGAAUCUGAACAACAAUGGUUGAGAGCAGCACAAAUGCUUAGUGGCAUUGACUUGGACUCAGGAAUCAGGAUGCUUGAUGACACAAACAAAUUAUCCAAGUGCGUCCAGAUUGCACGACUCUAUUUGGAGGAUGGUGAUGAUGCAGUGAAUGCUGAAGCCUUUAUCAACAAAGCCUCGUUUUUGGUUACAAACAGCAACCAGGAAAUUCUGAACUUACAAUACAAGGUCUGCUAUGCGAGAAUUUUAGAUCUAAAGCGUAAAUUUUUGGAAGAUGCACUUUGAUACUAUGGUAUCUCUCAAAUUGAGGAACACCAAAUUGGGGAUGAGCAAGUUGUGUUUGGAACUGAUAGUGCCUCCAUAUUUUGUUCUCAAAAAUCUUGAUGGAACAUGUUUCUUAGUGCUGCUGUAUAACAUGCACAAUGUUGGCUGGUGCUGGCCCACAACGCUCUCGUGUUCUUGCUACAUUGUACAAGGUUGUUCCUGGCUGUGGUCACGGAGUUCUACAUAAUACAGACCAAAAAUAUUCAUGCCAAAGGGAAUUCGCAUUGAAAUAUUUACCCGAGGACCCACUUCCCCAACUGAAUCCUUCAUCUAACUGCAUGGGUUCUCUUCGGUUCGACAGUCUCAGUGCAACAUAUUAUUAUUCCCUUUCAGGAACGAAGAUCUGAAUCACCCUCACCCCUCUAGAGAAAUCAGUUUACUCAUUCAAGUUCUGGAAUUUCUUUAUAGUUUUCUGAGUUACUUCGGUCUUGCAUGUAUUAGCUUUCUCUUUGUGCCCCUAUCUAUGCCUGUUUUGUGUGUGCAAGCGCUCCAUUCUGUGUGGGCGUGUGACUUGAUGGUGAAUAUGUGUGUGGCUUGACUCUCUGUGUGUGGCUUGAUUAUGUGUGUGGCUUGACUAUGUGUGUGGGGCUUGACUGUGUGUGUGAGAUUGUGUGUGGCUUGAUGGUGAAUAUGUGUGUGGCUUGACUGUGUGUGUGUGUGUGUGUGUGGCUUGACUGUGUGUGUGGGGCUUGACUGUGUGUGGCUUGACUGUGUGUGAAUAUUGCAUUUGCUUGAUGGUGUGGCUUGUAUAACUUGUGUUUUAUAUGUCACAAUUGAUUGUUGUUUAUUGAAUGUGAACAAACCUAACACUAUUCUUUUUUUCUGAACUUUUUUGUGAUUAUGUCUUAUGUGGAUAUCAUAUUCUUUUUUGUAUUACUGCUGUCCAGUCACUAGAAUAACACUUUUCUAAGUAUUUAUGGUACAGACAUGUGGAUCGGGACAUGUCACAUUGGCUCUUUGUUGUGUUGCUAAGGACACUGAUGGGUUGUGUUUGCAUACAACGCAGUCUGGACCAACAAAAUGGUCUCAUUGCCGCAAGCAAUGUCAAGCAAGGUGGAAAUAAAUGGGCAGAAAUAGCAAAAGUUCUUCCUAGAAGACAUUUGAACAUUGCAGGAAUCGAGUAUUUCUAUUUGUUCUCAGGUUCUUCUCACCUAUAGCUAGAGUCAAAGACGACAAACCAAGUGGAUUAUUGGACUUGCAAGAUAAACAGAAUCAUCGGUCAUCUGAAUCUUCUUUUCUAAUAUGACUAUUGAUGCUGCUCAUGAGGCUAGCCAUCGGCUUGGAAGUGAUGAGAGGCAAUCACUGUUGUCAACUUGAAACAUAUAAUCUUUUAGGUAUGAAUGGCUUACCUUAGCCAGAAUUUCUAUAAGAAUGUUGCUCAUGUUACAUGCCUUGCUUUCUCUAGUAAGUAGAACAAGAACACAUUUAACAGUUCUUUUCUGUCCAUAGGCCUACAAACUUGUG